AAAAGAAGAUCAAGAAGAACUUCAGAAUGAAGCUUUCUUGAUGGAGGGGAGCGGCAGACGGGUGAGUAACGCGUGGGAACGUACCCUUUACUACGGAACAACUCCGGGAAACUGGAGCUAAUACCGUAGUCGCCCUUUGGGGGAAAGAUUUAUCGGUAAAGGAUGGGCCCGCGUUGGAUUAGCUAGUUGGUGGGGUAAAGGCCUACCAAGGCGACGAUCCAUAGCUGGUCUGAGAGGAUGAUCAGCCACAUUGGGACUGAGACACGGCCCAAACUCCUACGGGAGGCAGCAGUGGGGAAUAUUGGACAAUGGGCGCAAGCCUGAUCCAGCCAUGCCGCGUGAGUGAUGAAGGCCCUAGGGUUGUAAAGCUCUUUCACCGGGGAAGAUAAUGACGGUACCCGGAGAAGAAGCCCCGGCUAACUUCGUGCCAGCCGCCGCCGUAA
rnacentral:rRNA from 1 species